GUGCUUUCUUUGGCAGCACAUAUACUAAAAUUGGAAAGACAUAGAGAAGAUUAGCAUGGCCCCUCCAUGGAUGACAUGCAAAUUCGUGAAGCGUUUCAUAUUUAA
ensembl:snRNA U6 U6 spliceosomal RNA